CUAUAAAGCCGCGCAGCGCGCCUGCGACUACCUUCGCCGAACGCGCAAACCUCCAUUUAGAAAAACCACAGCAAACCAGAGAUCUACCAAUCCAACGCAGAGAAGCAACCGCAUCGCUAUAUAAUGGCCGCUCCGGCCUCCUCGUCCACCGCCGCACCCGCGUCAUCGCCACCGCACAAGCCUCCAAACAACGCCGGCAGCACCAUGCUAGAGCCACAGUCACCGUCGCCCUACCCCGACGCCGCGGCGCCCGUGGCUUCCAGCGUCAGCUCCGCGAGCUGCUGCAGCAGCAGCAGCAGCGGGGGCAGCAGCCAAGCGGACCGGUCGUCGACGUUCUCCGUGGACUCGUCUUCGGCCGCGACGCCGUCGUCCUCCCCCCCGCGCCCGCACCGCGCGAGCGACGUGGCGUGGGCGCCCAUCCGGGGCCGGGCGCUCGGCCCGCGGGACUUCACGCUCCUCCGCCGCGUCGGGGCCGGGGACAUCGGCACCGUCUACCUGUGCCGUCUCGAGAGCCAGAGCCAGGCCCCCGAGGGGUCCGCGUGCGAGUACGCCAUGAAGGUGGUGGACCGGCGCGCGCUCGCCAAGAAGGGGAAGCUGGCGCGCGCCGCGGCCGAGAAGCGCGUCCUGCGGCGGCUGGACCACCCGUUCCUGCCCACCAUGUUCGCGGACUUCGACGCCGGCACGGACCUGUCGUGCAUCGUGAUGGAGUUCUGCCGGGGCGGCGACCUCCACUCCCUCCGCCACCGCAUGCCGGGCCGCCGCUUCCCGCUCGCGUCCGCGCGGUUCUACGGCGCCGAGGUGCUCCUGGCGCUGGAGUACCUGCACAUGAUGGGCAUCGUGUACCGCGACCUCAAGCCAGAGAACGUGCUCAUACGCGGCGACGGCCACAUCAUGCUCACGGACUUCGACCUGUCGCUGGAGUCGACGGCGUCGCCGGCUCUGGAGGACGCGAGGAGCGUCGUGGGCGACAAGGACGACGACGUGCCGGAGCCGGCACCGACCUGCCUCCCGAUCCCGGAGCUGCAGCUCCUUCGGCUGCGGCGGUGGAAGCGCCGGGCCGCGCCGCGGCCGCGGUUCGUGGCGGAGCCCGUGGACGCGCGGUCCAGCUCGUUCGUGGGCACGCACGAGUACGUGGCGCCCGAGGUGGCCCGCGGGGGCGGGCACGGCGCGGCCGUGGACUGGUGGGCCUACGGCGUGUUCCUGUACGAGCUCAUCUACGGGCGCACCCCGUUCGUCGGGGAGAGCAACGAGGCCACGCUCCGCAACAUCGUGCGGCGGCCGCUGGAGUUCCCGGCCGCCGCGACCGCGCACGGGGACUCCGCCGCGGCGCGGGACCUGAUCGCGCGGCUCCUGGACAAGGACCCGCGCACCAGGCUCGGGUCGAAGCGCGGCGCCGCCGACGUGAAGGCGCACGGCUUCUUCAAGGGCCUGAACUUCGCGCUGCUGCGGUCGACGCCGCCGCCCGUGGUGCCGCCCCCCGCCGCCCCGCACCGGUGCGACAAGGCCGCCGACGUGCAGCAGCUGUUCGAUCACUUCUGAGUCCCGAACUCCCGAAGUCCCGAUGGACGUCCGUUUCGUUCAAAUGAUGCAAGCAUUUUUUUUUUCUCUUCUUUUGUCGUUGAUCGAUCGAUCGGUAGCCAGCCAAGAGUUGUGUGCCGGAGUGACUAACCAGCUUUGGUAGCCAGAUCGAGGCAUGCCUGGUGUUGACUAGCUGAAUACUCUACUCCAUUAGCACUGCUGUACAACGCUGUUAAUUACUACUAAUGAAGCGA
rnacentral:misc_RNA from 1 species